AUUGAACGCUGGCGGCAUGCCUUACACAUGCAAGUCGAACGGUAACAGGUUAAGCUGACGAGUGGCGAACGGGUGAGUAAUGUAUCGGAACGUGCCCAGUCGUGGGGGAUAACUGCUCGAAAGAGCAGCUAAUACCGCAUACGACCUGAGGGUGAAAGCUGGGGAUCGCAAGACCUCGCGCGAUUGGAGCGGCCGAUAUCAGAUUAGGUAGUUGGUGAGGUAAAGGCUCACCAAGCCGACGAUCUGUAUCUGGUCUGAGAGGACGACCAGCCACACUGGGACUGAGACACGGCCAAGACUCCUACGGGAGGCAGCAGUGGGGAAUUUUGGACAAUGGGCGCAAGCCUGAUCCAGCCAUGCCGCGUGCGGGAAGAAGGCCUUCGGGUUGUAAACCGCUUUUGUCAGGGAAGAAAAGGUUCUGGCUAAUACCUGGGACUCAUGACGGUACCUGACGAAUAAGCACCGGCUAACUACGUG
rnacentral:rRNA from 1 species